rnacentral:lncRNA from 1 species
UGCAAAUAAAUAGAGUGUGGGGAUGAGAAAAGAAUUCAUUAAUUAUAUUUUUGUGUUUGACAAGACCUUUGGACUUGUGCCUACGUACCAACAUAAAAAUGAGGGAUCAAAACCUCAUAGUUCGUGGUAACAAUUUCAAAGUGAGUGGGUUACUUUUAACAAAAGUUUAAGUUUAAAAGAGGCACAAAAGGCCUAAAAGAGUUUGAAUGGGUGUUAGUUAUU